UGUCGUCAGCUCGUGUCGUGAGAUGUUGGGUUAAGUCCCGCAACGAGCGCAACCCUAUUGCUAGUUACCAUCAUUAAGUUGGGGACUCUAGCGAGACUGCCAGUGAUAAACUGGAGGAAGGUGGGGAUGACGUCAAAUCAUCAUGCCCCUUAUGACCUGGGCUACAAACGUGAUACAAUGGCUGGAACAAAGGGAUGCGAAGCAGUGAUGUGGAGCGAAACCCAUAAAAACAGUCUCAGUUCGGAUUGAAGUCUGCAACUCGACUUCAUGAAGUCGGAAUCGCUAGUAAUCGCGGAUCAGAACGCCGCGGUGAAUACGUUCUCGGGUUU
rnacentral:rRNA from 1 species